ACAGUCGUGGCCGAGUGGUUAAGGCGAUGGACUCGAAAUCCAUUGGGGUCUCCCCGCACAGGUUCGAAUUCUGUCGGCUGCG
rnacentral:tRNA from 1 species